rnacentral:rRNA from 1 species
GCAUUGUAAUUUGCAGAGGAUGCUUCGGGUGCAUCCCCCGUCUAAGUGCCCUGGAACGGGCCGUCAUAGAGGGUGAGAAUCCCGUAUGGGGCGGGGUGUCUGCCUCCGUGUGAAGCUCCUUCGACGAGUCGAGUUGUUUGGGAAUGCAGCUCUAAAUGGGUGGUAAAUUUCAUCUAAAGCUAAAUACUGGCCGGAGACCGAUAGCGCACAAGUAGAGUGAUCNAAAGAUNAAAAUCACUUUGAAAAGAGAGUUAAUCAGCGCUUGAAUUUGUUGAAAGGGAACCGCUUGCNACCNGACUCGCUGGCGGGGUUCNCCCGGGCUU